AGAGUAUUAAAGCGUUUCGGUAGUAAUAUCAUAUUCUUCAAUGGCUUACGAGACCCUUGGAGUGGUGGCGGGGUGCUAAAGAGUAUAUCGAAAAGCAUUAUUGCUAUAGUUGAGAAAGAAGGGGCACAUCAUGUCGACCUAAGAUUUUCAACAAAUGAAGAUCCGGAAUGGCUUCGAGAUGUAAGAAAUAGAGAGAUUAGUAUCAUGAAA